UACGUAGGGUGCAAGCGUUGUCCGGAAUUAUUGGGCGUAAAGAGCGUGUAGGCGGCCCGAUUAGUCCGCUGUGAAAGUCCAGGGCUCAACCCUGGAAUGCCGGUGGAUACUAUCGGGCUAGAGUCCGGAAGGGGCGAGUGGAAUUCCUGGUGUAGCGGUGAAAUGCGCAGAUAUCAGGAAGAACACCCGUGGCGAAGGCGGCUCUCUGGGACGGUACUGACGCUGAGACGCGAAAGCGUGGGGAGCGAACAGG
rnacentral:rRNA from 1 species